rnacentral:rRNA from 1 species
UACAGAGGGUGCGAACGUUGUUCGGAAUCACUGGGCAUAAAGCGUACGUAGGCGGCACCGCAAGUGUGGGGUGAAAUCCCACGGCUUACCCGUGGAACUGCCUGGCAGACUGCGGUGCUAGAGGUUGGUAGGGGAGAGCGGAACUCUUGGUGGAGCGGUGAAAUGCGUAGAUAUCAAGAGGAACACCGGUGGCGAAGGCGGCUCUCUGGUCCAAUCCUGACGCUGAGGUGCGAAAGCUAGGGGAGCAAACGGG